rnacentral:lncRNA from 1 species
UUUUUGAAAUUCAAGGAAUGUAUAUGUUGCUUAAAAAUAUAAAUAGACACAACUUUUCCCACAUAAAGUUUUUAUUUAAGUAGAAGCAUUAUGUUUUUGGUCCCUGAAAUCCUCUUUCUCCCCAUAAAUACAUUCACACUAAAUACCUGAAGACUUGGGUGGAACUGACUCUGCUCAAGAAAAAGUUAUAGGUGAAAUAGCAGAGGGUAGGAGAGCCAAGAGGAAGAGAAGACCUACCAUUUCUCUUAGAGGACACUUUCCUUGGGUGUUUGCAGUGAGCUUUGAGGGUUAAGGCUACGACCGAAUACAGAAAUAAAGUGUAUGAAUUCCUCUUUGGAGGGCUGGUACCUCAACUCUGGGCUGCAAAGCUGUUCCUAAUUUUAGGCCCUAUUUCUCUUCCCUAUAAAUAGCUUCUAAUUUUUCCCUAGAGAGAAGGAAACCCCUCUUUCCAAAGGCAGAAGAGAUGCUCAGUCAUUGCCAGGUUCUGUCCAAAUUUGGGGUUUUGCCCAAUUUGUCCCCUACCUCUAACUAGCAAGGGUAGGGAGGGAGAAGGAGCUUCAUUCUCUUCAGCCAGCUUCCACUGUGCUCAUAUGGUCAUUGUGUCAUUUCACCCUGCACAGAGGAAGUUGAAGCUAAACAAAUCCAGGCAUAAUGGGUGAAUUUUGCUGUGGUGGAGAAUUCUACCCCUAGAUUCUGGGUGUUAAUAAAAUCCUAUUUGGGAGGUAUAGAUCUUCUGGGAAAGGCAGGGAGCUGGACCUAUCCAGCAUGCAGAGGAAUCCAGUCAUGGGGUGGAGCAGGGUAGCAGGACUCACAAGCUAACUGCUGUUUGUCUGUCUGUCUUCCAGGUUCCAAAGACCCCUCAGGAUCUCCCAGUGCUGCCAGUGAGUAUAUUGUUGCGACUGUCCCUCAGCUGAAUCCUACUGCAUCCGCCUUUUUCCCUUUACUAGGUUCGAGGGACAAACAAGAGCCAUGCUGAGUCCCUUUGUCUACUCACCCUUUUCGCCAUCAAUGCUGCAAUCCCUGAAACGCUGUCGGCUGGAGCACGUGUAGCAGAAGGGCUGGCUUUCACAAGCUGUUGGAGUAGGAGACAUGAGGGAGAUCAGGCCUCCUGCACAGGCAUCAAGAUUAAAAGGGAAGUUGCCAAUGCCUUUGUGAGAAGGCAGAAGAGAUCCAACUUGCAUGAAAGGUAACAACUCAUGAGUCAGGCUGAGGGCUAGACCCUGGAUUUGUUGUAAAGACAGGGUGGGA